UACCAGCACCCCGAGUGGUCGGGACGUUUUAUUGGGCCUAAAGCAUCCGUAGCCGGUUCUACAAGUCUUCCGUUAAAUCCACCUGCUUAACAGAUGGGCUGCGGAAGAUACUAUGGAGCUAGGAGGCGGGAGAGGCAAGCGGUACUCGAUGGGUAGGGGUAAAAUCCGUUGAUCCAUUGAAGACCACCAGUGGCGAAGGCGGCUUGCCAGAACGCGCUCGACGGUGAGGGAUGAAAGCUGGGGGAGCAA
rnacentral:rRNA from 1 species